UACGUAGGGUGCGAGCGUUAAUCGGAAUUACUGGGCGUAAAGCGUGCGCAGGCGGUCCGCUAAGACCGAUGUGAAAUCCCCGGGCUUAACCUGGGAACUGCAUUGGUGACUGGCGGGCUGGAGUAUGGCAGAGGGGGGUAGAAUUCCACGUGUAGCAGUGAAAUGCGUAGAGAUGUGGAGGAAUACCGCUGGCGAAGGCAGCCCCCUGGGCCAAUACUGACGCUCAUGCACGAAAGCGUGGGGAGCAAACAGG
rnacentral:rRNA from 1 species